rnacentral:rRNA from 1 species
AGGGCACCACCAGGAGUGGAGCCUGCGGCUUAAUUUGACUCAACACGGGGAAACUCACCCGGCCCGGACACCGGAAGGAUUGACAGAUUGAUAGCUCUUUCUUGAUUCGGUGGAUGGUGGUGCAUGGCCGUUCUUAGUUGGUGGAGCGAUCUGUCUGGUUAAUUCCGAUGACGAACGAGACUCUAGCCUAUUAAAUAGACGUCGGGUUCUCUGCACUCGACGGUCUUCUUAGAGGGACAAGGUGCUUUUAGCACCGCGAAACAGAGCAAUAACAGGUCUGUGAUGCCCUUAGAUGUCCGGGGCCGCACGCGCGCUACACUGAAGGAAGCAGCGUGUAACAACCUUGUUCUAACGAACUGGGUAACCCGUGGAACUUCCUUCAUGAUUGGGAUAGGGGUUUGCAAUUGUGCCCCUUGAACGAGGAAUUCCCAGUAAACACUAGUCAUCAGCUAGUGCUGAUUACGUCCCUGCCCUUUGUACACACCGCCCGUCGCUACUACCGAUUGAAUGGUUUAGUGA